rnacentral:tRNA from 1 species
UACAAUUUAAUGUAUGAAGCAUAAAGAAUUUUGAAUUCUUUAGAUUUGGUUUAAUUCCAAAAUUUGUAA